AUUGAACGCUGGCGGCAUGCCUUACACAUGCAAGUCGAACGGCAUCGCGGGAAAGCUUGCUUUCCUGGCGGCGAGUGGCGAACGGGUGAGUCACACAUCGGAACGUGCCGGCUAGUGGGGGAUAACCCGUCGAAAGACGGGCUAAUACCGCAUACGCUCUUCGGAGGAAAGCAGGGGACCUUUGGGCCUUGUUCUAGUCGCGCGGCCGAUGUCCGAUUCGCUAGUUGGUGGGGUAAAGGCUUACCAAGGCGACGAUCGGUAGCGGGUCUGAGAGGACGAUCCGCCACACUGGGACUGAGACACGGCCCAGACUCCUACGGGAGGCAGCAGUGGGGAAUCUUGGACAAUGGGGGCAACCCUGAUCCAGCAAUGCCGCGUGGGUGAAGAAGGCCUUCGGGUUGUAAAGCCCUGUCGGCAGGGAAGAAAUCGGCGGGGCGAAUAACCCUGCUGGAUGACGGUACCUGCAGAAGAAGCACCGGCUAACUACGUG
rnacentral:rRNA from 1 species